rnacentral:rRNA from 1 species
GGAAGCACCGGCUAACUCCGUGCCAGCAGCCGCGGUAAUACGGGGGGUGCAAGCGUUGUUCGGAUUUAUUGGGCGUAAAGCGCGUGUAGGCGGUUUUUUAAGUCUGAUGUGAAAGCCCCGGGCUCAACCUGGGAAGUGCAUUGGAUACUGGGAGACUUGAAUACGGGAGAGGGUAGUGGAAUUCCUAGUGUAGGAGUGAAAUCCGUAGAUAUUAGGAGGAACACCGGUGGCGAAGGCGGCUACCUGGACCGAUAUUGACGCUGAGACGCGAAAGCGUGGGGAGCAAACAGGAUUAGAUACCCUGGUAGUCCACGCCGUAAACGAUGAGAACUAGGUGUCGCGGGUA